CAUGCCUUCGUUUAGCUGCGGGGUUGGGAAACACUGCUGUGGAGACUGCGAUCACAGAUACUGCUGCUACUUUGCAUCUUCGAGGUUAUCCGAUUAUGAUCAAACAGUGUGCAUUAUUGAGAGAAACAUUAGUAUUGCCAUUGGCUUAUCAGUUGUAGGGUUUGUGGUCCUCAUCGUCUUUUUCAUCUGCUGCUGCUGCUGCUGCCCCUGCUGCUGUUUCUAUCAAAUGUGCAGAAAACCCAGAUCUGCGGUACAAACAAAUGUAACUACAGUCAUGAAUUCACAAUCCAUUCAGAUGCAGCCGGUAAUGCAGGUAGUCCAGCCCCAACAAUACCAACCAGUGCCGACUCAAGCAGGUUACGGGGGUCAGCCUAUGCAGACAGCACCAUAUCAGGGACAGUCAUAUGCACCAGAACCCCCACCCUCAUAUGACAUGGCCAGUAAGAACAUCUAGUGCUGGAUACACUGAGACCAUGCAGUAUCUGGAGUCUGGUCUGUUUUCUACUCCCUUCAGUCAGGCUGCACAUGAUGAAGAUCAGAUCAUGUACGCUCUACAAGCACAGCUUCAACCAGCGCUUCGCACAGACUACACCUCACUUCUACUGCUACACAACCCUGAUUACAUCGAUUCACCAGAGACCAGUUAAAACCCCAACAUACACACACACUCACACCCAAACACACACACACACACACACACACACACACAAACAAAUGGCCAGUUAUCAACUCUGGAUUGUGGAGGGUUUCACAUUCCCCCGCUUCUUCUACAGACUCUGAAAAGAUUGUGUUGAGAAUAAAAGUAUUGUUUCUUCAAUUUAGCUUAUACUUGCUUUCAAUACUCCAGUCAUGACCCACUGUUUGUUUGCAUCUCUUCAGAUUUGCUCUCAGUGUGGUUUGACACCUUUUGUUGUAUGGCUUUG